UAAGUAGAUAGUGAAAUCUGGUGGCUCAACCAUUCAGACUAUUAUCUAAACUGAUAGACUCGAGAGCGUUAGGGGUAGCUGGAAUUUCUAGUGUAGGAGUGAAAUCCGUAGAUAUUAGAAAGAACACCGAUAGCGUAGGCAGGCUACUGGGACGUUUCUGACACUAAGGCACGAAAGCGUGGGGAGCAAACGGGAUUAGAUACCCCGGUAGUCCACGCUGUAAACGAUGGAUACUA
rnacentral:rRNA from 1 species